rnacentral:rRNA from 1 species
AACUAUAAAAUUAAAAAAGUGGGCGGUAUUUUAGUCUAUUUAGAGGAACUUGUCCUAUAAUUGAUAUUCCACGUUUUAAAUUACUUAUAUAAAAGUUUGUAUAUCGUCGUAGAUUGAAUUUUUUAUUAGAAUAUUAAUAUUCAAAAAUUUUAGAGAAAAAAAUUCAGAUCAAGGUGCAGUUUAUAUAUAAGAAGAGAUGAGUUACAAUAAAUUUAUUUAGCUGAUUUAUUAUUUAAAAAUUUUAAGGAAGGAGGAUUUAAUAGUAAUUUUAUUUAAAUUAUUAAAAUGAUUAAAGCUCUAAGAUAUGUACAUAUCGCCCGUCACUUUCAUUAUAAAAUGGAAUAAGUCGUAACAUAGUAGAGGUACUGGAAAGUGUUUCUAGAAAGACAGAUUAAAGCUUUAUUAAGCAUUUUAUUUACAUUAAAAAGAUCUUUUAAUAAAAGUAAUUUGAUUAAUUAAGAAAUUAUAUAAGUAUAUAUGUGUGUAUAUAUAUAUAUAUAAUUAAUUUUAUUUUUCAAAAAUUUUUUUAUGUUUUAUUAUUAUUGUUAGAAAAAAUUUAUUUUUAUAAUAAAGUAUUAAUAUUGUGAAAGAAUUUUUUUAAUUAAUAAAAAGAUAUAUUUAUUUUUUGUACCUGGGUAUCAGGGG